UACGUAGGGUCCGAGCGUUGUCCGGAGUGACUGGGCGUAAAGCGCGCGCAGGCGGCCUGUUAGGCGCGACGUGAAAUCCCCGGGCUCAACCCGGGAACUGCGUCCGAUACUGGAAGGCUUGAAUCCGGGAGAGGGAUGUGGAAUUCCAGGUGUAGCGGUGAAAUGCGUAGAUAUCUGGAGGAACACCGGUGGCGAAGGCGACAUCCUGGACCGGUAUUGACGCUGAGGCGCGAAAGCCAGGGGAGCAAACGGGG
rnacentral:rRNA from 1 species